AAGGCAGCAGGCACGCAAAUUACCCACUCCCGGCACGGGGAGGUAGUGACAAAAAAUAACGAUACGGGACUCAUCCGAGGCCCCGUAAUCGGAAUGAGUACACUUUAAAUCCUUUAACAAGGAUCCAAUGGAGGGCAAGUCUGGUGCCAGCAGCCGCGGUAAUUCCAGCUCCAUUAGCGUAUAUUAAAGUUGUUGCGGUUAAAAAGCUCGUAGUUGGUUCUGUGUCCCACGCUGUCGGUUCACCGCCUGACGGUGCAACUGGCAUGCCGUGGGAUGUCCUGUCGGUGGCGGCCUUGACCCACGGCGUUGUGUAGGUUCGCCGAAGCUCGCCGAUGUGUGUCAGGCCGCCGAUUCAAUCCUGCCGCGGUGCUCUUUACUGAGUGUCGAGGUAGGCCGACACGUUUACUUUGAACAAAUUAGAGUGCUCAAAGCAGGCUAAUAAUGCCUGGAUAUCGGUGCAUGGAAUAAUGGAAUAGGACCUCGGUUCUAUUUUGUUGGUUUUAGGAAUCCGAGGUAAUGAUCAAUAUGGACAGGCGGGGGCAUUCGUAUUGCGACGUUAGAGGUGAAAUUCUUGGAUCGUCGCAAGACGGACUAGAGCGAAAGCAUUUGCCAAGUAUGUCUUAGUUGAUCAAGAACGAAAGUUAGAGGUUCGAAGGCGAUCAGAUACCGCCCUAGUUCUAACCAUAAACGAUGCCAGCCAGCGAUCCGCCGAUGUUCCUCCGAUGACUCGG
rnacentral:rRNA from 2 species